rnacentral:rRNA from 1 species
CCUACGGGGGGCAGCAGUGAGGAAUAUUGGUCAAUGGGCGCGAGCCUGAACCAGCCAAGUCGCGUGAGGGAAGACGGUCCUAUGGAUUGUAAACCUCUUUUGUCGGGGAGCAAAAGACGCCACGCGUGGCGUUCCGAGAGUACCCGAAGAAAAAGCAUCGGCUAACUCCGUGCCAGCAGCCACGGUAAUACGGAGGAUGCGAGCGUUAUCCGGAUUUAUUGGGGUUAAAGGGUGCGCAGGCGGAAGAUCAAGUCAGCGGGAAACUUGAGAGGCUCAACCUCUUCGAGCCGUUGAAACUGGUGUUCUUGAGUGAGCGAGAAGUAUGCGGAAUGCGUGGUGUAGCGGUGAAAUGCAUAGAUAUCACGCAGAACUCCGAUUGCGAAGGCAGCAUACCGGCGCUCAACUGACGCUCAUGCACGAAAGUGUGGGUAUCGAACAGGAUUAGAUACCCCUGUAGUC